rnacentral:rRNA from 1 species
UACGUAGGGUGCAAGCGUUUGUCCGGAAUUAUUGGGCGUAAAGAGCUCGUAGGCGGUCUGUCGCGUCUGCUGUGAAAACUCGGGGCUUAACCCCGGGCCUGCAGUGGGUACGGGCAGACUAGAGUGCGGUAGGGGAGAUUGGAAUUCCUGGUGUAGCGGUGGAAUGCGCAGAUAUCAGGAGGAACACCGAUGGCGAAGGCAGAUCUCUGGGCCGUAACUGACGCUGAGGAGCGAAAGCAUGGGGAGCGAACAGG